AAGUCGUAACAAGGUUUCCGUAGGUGAACCUGCGGAAGGAUCAUUAAAGAACGAGAGACUGCGAGAUUGGCUAGAGGGGGAGAGAGCUCUCUCUCGCUAGCUUGUUGAGUGGUUCUUUACUUCAUUUCACCCUCAUGUGAACCUCUGCGCGAGUUGGUACAGGUCUCUGUGGCCUGGAAGGCUCGCGGCUUCUAUAUACACCCCUUGACAAGUUGUAGAAUGUACCCUUUGCGUUUAACCGCAUCCAAUACAACUUUCAGCAACGGAUCUCUUGGCUCUC
rnacentral:misc_RNA from 1 species